UCAGUUCGGAUUGUAGGCUGCAACCCGCCUACAUGAAGUCGGAAUUGCUAGUAAUCGUGGAUCAGCAUGCCACGGUGAAUACGUUCCCGGGCCUUGUACACACCGCCCGUCAAACCAUGAGAGUUGGCAACACCCGAAGCCUGUAGCUUAACCGCAAGGACGGCGCAGUCGAAGGUGGGGUCGAUGAUUAGGGUUAAGUCGUAACAAGGUAGC
rnacentral:rRNA from 1 species